UGCAGUCGAGCGGACAGAUGGGAGCUUGCUCCCUGAUGUCAGCGGCGGACGGGUGAGUAACACGUGGGUAACCUGCCUGUAAGACUGGGAUAACUCCGGGAAACCGGGGCUAAUACCGGAUGCUUGAUUGAACCGCAUGGUUCAAUUAUAAAAGGUGGCUUUUAGCUACCACUUACAGAUGGACCCGCGGCGCAUUAGCUAGUUGGUGAGGUAACGGCUCACCAAGGCAACGAUGCGUAGCCGACCUGAGAGGGUGAUCGGCCACACUGGGACUGAGACACGGCCCAGACUCCUACGGGAGGCAGCAGUAGGGAAUCUUCCGCAAUGGACGAAAGUCUGACGGAGCAACGCCGCGUGAGUGAUGAAGGUUUUCGGAUCGUAAAACUCUGUUGUUAGGGAAGAACAAGUACCGUUCGAAUAGGGCGGUACCUUGACGGUACCUAACCAGAAAGCCACGGCUAACUACGUGCCAGCAGCCGCGGUAAUACGUAGGUGGCAAGCGUUGUCCGGAAUUAUUGGGCGUAAAGCGCGCGCAGGCGGUUUCUUAAGUCUGAUGUGAAAGCCCCCGGCUCAACCGGGGAGGGUCAUUGGAAACUGGGGAACUUGAGUGC
rnacentral:rRNA from 1 species